UACGAGGGGGGCGAGCGUUGUUCGGAAUUAUUGGGCGUAAAGGGUGCGUAGGCGGACAGGUAAGUCAGUGGUGAAAUCUCCGAGCUUAACUCGGAAACUGCCUUUGAUACUCUCUGUCUUGAAUAUGGUGGAGGUAAGCGGAAUAUGUCAUGUAGCGGUGAAAUGCUUAGAGAUGACAUAGAACACCUAUUGCGAAGGCAGCUUACUACGCCUAUAUUGACGCUGAGGCACGAAAGCGUGGGGAUCAAACAGG
rnacentral:rRNA from 1 species